CUGACUUGCUUUUUAUUUCCAUUUGCCUCAUGUUAUCAAAAGCAUAUAUGAAACAGCAGUUAGGAACACACAUUCUAACUGGUAGUAGAAAUGCUGGUAUAGUGUUUGUGAAAUGACUAAUUCAUUUUCAUUUUUUCAAAUACUAUUAGACAGUAAAUUAUUACAAUUUUGAUUUUUAGUGAUAUAAGGAAGGUUGUGUGGACCAACAUUUCUUCAAAAGAUCUAUAUUUUGCCUUGCAAACCUUAAUGCAGUAUUGGUAUACUCCAAAUUGGUAAUGACCCAUGAGAUGCUUCUGAAUUUGAUCUUAACUUUAAAUUGCUCAAGUAUUUUCUAUCUUGUAUUAAUCAGUGGUUGUAAAUAUCAUCAUGUGAUGCAUCUGUUGCUGAAAGAGGCACAUUGAUUAGAAAUAGUCAUAGAAAUAGAAAAUAUUCUCUUGAACUAUAAUUCCAAUAAAAGUCAUUACUUCAUA